ACUACGGGGGGCUGCAGUGGGGGAUAUUGGACAAUGGGGGGAACCCUGAUCCAGCGACGCCGCGUGAGUGAAGAAGUAUUUCGGUAUGUAAAGCUCUGUCAGCAGGGAAGAAAGAAAUGACGGUACCUGACCAAGAAGCCCCGGCUAACUACGUGCCAGCAGCCGCGGUAAUACGUAGGGGGCAAGCGUUAUCCGGAAUUACUGGGUGUAAAGGGAGCGUAGACGGUUAAGUAAGUCUGGAGUGAAAGGCCGGGGCCCAACCCCGGGACUGCUCUGGAAACUAUUCAACUUGAGUGCAGGAGAGGUAAGCGGAAUUCCUAGUGUAGCGGUGAAAUGCGUAGAUAUUAGGAGGAACACCAGUGGCGAAGGCGGCUUACUGGACUGUAACUGACGUUGAGGCUCGAAAGCGUGGGGAGCAAACAGGAUUAGAUACCCGUGUAGUC
rnacentral:rRNA from 1 species